rfam:Bacillus galactosidilyticus strain PL133 scaffold000068, whole genome shotgun sequence.
AAUUUAUCCAGAGAGACUGAGGGAAGGGCCCUAUGACGUCCGGCAACCCCUUGCAUAGCAAGGAAGGUGCCAACUCCUACAGAAUGUAUCCAUUCUGAAAGAUAAAUC